AUGAACGCUGGCGGCGUGCCUAAUCCCUGCAAGUCGAGCGAACAGAUAAGGAGCUUGCUCCUUUGACGUUAGCGGCGGACGGGUGAGUAACACGUGGGUAACCUACCUAUAAGACUGGGAUAACUUCGGGAAACCGGAGCUAAUACCGGAUAACAUUUGGAACCGCAUGGUUCUAAAGUGAAAGAUGGUUUUGCUAUCACUUAUAGAUGGACCCGCGCCGUAUUAGCUAGUUGGUAAGGUAACGGCUUACCAAGGCAACGAUACGUAGCCGACCUGAGAGGGUGAUCGGCCACACUGGAACUGAGACACGGUCCAGACUCCUACGGGAGGCAGCAGUAGGGAAUCUUCCGCAAUGGGCGAAAGCCUGACGGAGCAACGCCGCGUGAGUGAUGAAGGGUUUCGGCUCGUAAAACUCUGUUAUUAGGGAAGAACAAAUGUGUAAGUAACUGUGCACGUCUUGACGGUACCUAAUCAGAAAGCCACGGCUAACUACGUG
rnacentral:rRNA from 1 species